GGCCUAAAGCAUCCGUAGCCGGUUGCAUAAGUUUUCGGUUAAAUCUAUGCGCUUAACGUAUAGGCCGCCGAAAAUACUGUGCAGCUAGGGAGUGGGAGAGGUACACGGUACUCGAUAGGAAGGGGUAAAAUCCUUUGAUCUAUUGAUGACCACCUGUGGCGAAGGCGGUGUACCAGAACACGUUCGACGGUGAGGGANNNAAGCUGGGGGAGCAAACCGGAUUAGAUACCCGGGUAGUCCCAGCUGUAAACGAUGCAGACUCGGUGAUGCAUUGGCUUGUGGCCAAUGCAGUGCCGCAGGGAAGCCGUUAAGUCUGCCGCCUGGGAAGUACGUACGCAAGUAUGAAACUNNNNNNAAUAGGCGGGGGAGCACCACAAGGGGUGAAGCCUGCGG
rnacentral:rRNA from 1 species